AUUGAACGCUGGCGGCAGGCCUAACACAUGCAAGUCGAACGAGUGGCGGACGGGUGAGUAAUGUCUGGGAAACUGCCUGAUGGAGGGGGAUAACUACUGGAAACGGUAGCUAAUACCGCAUACUAUCAGAUGUGCCCAGAUGGGAUUAGCUAGUAGGUGGGGUAACGGCUCACCUAGGCGACGAUCCCUAGCUGGUCUGAGAGGAUGACCGGCCACCCUGGAAAUGGGACACGAUCCAGACUCCUACGGGAGGGAGCAGUGGGGAAUAUUGCAAAAUGGGCGCAAGCCUGAUGCAGCCAUGCCGAGUGUAGGAAGAAGGCCUUCGGGUUGUAAAGUACUUUCAGCGAGGAGGCGUUACUCGCAGAAGAAGCACCGGCUAACUCCGUGCCAGCAGCCGCGGUAAUAC
rnacentral:rRNA from 1 species